rnacentral:rRNA from 1 species
UACGUAGGGGGCAAGCGUUGUCCGGAAUCAUUGGGCGUAAAGAGCGUGUAGGCGGUCCGGUAAGUCGGCCGUGAAAGUCCAAGGCUCAACCUUGGGAUGCCGGUCGAUACUGCCGGACUAGAGUUCGGAAGAGGCGAGUGGAAUUCCCGGUGUAGCGGUGAAAUGCGCAGAUAUCGGGAGGAACACCUAUGGCGAAGGCAGCUCGCUGGGACGUUACUGACGCUGAGACGCGAAAGCGUGGGGAGCAAACAGG